AACAACAAUGAAAAUGUAAUUUGUGAUGACAGCCAACCAGAGGAGCAGAAUGAUGAUCCAGAACAAGAAGGUGACAUGCCAAAUGGUGGUCUUGCUCUAGAGUCAUGCCUUCAGCCACGCGAUGUUUCAGAGGACAUAUUGUGUUUCAGUGAAGGAAUCUACUCUGUUGCUCCUGCAGAAGGAAAUAGUCCAGUCAGCUAUUUCAAAACACCUAAACUUGAGGCCAUGGCUUUCCCUGUUCAGUUCCCCACUGGUCGAAAUACACUAGAUGAACAGAGACUUACCAAAAUAACACCUAGUGGUUAUUUCAAAACCAGGCUUUUAGGUGUUGAUGAUCGCUUUGCCAGAGACACAAACUAUUUGUUCUUUGCACAGUUUGUGACUGAAAUACACUUGGCCACAUCAAGCAUGACAAUUCAACUACGUAAGGGAAAACCUUUCACCAGAGAUGGACGCAAAAUAACAUCAGGAAUGCUGCAAGACAAACGAGAGGUUGAACGACUAGUGAGAAAUAAAGAUGCAGUCAGAUUAAUGCAGCCGCUGAGAGGGACACCAGCCUAUUGGGAGAAAACUACGAGAGAUCUGUUUGCCAUGAUAAGACAGCUCGGAACUCCUACUUUCUUUUGUACGUUUUCUGCAGCAGAAAUGCGUUGGCCUGAAGUGAUUAAAGCAAUAAAAUGUCAGCAGGGUGAGGAAGUUGAUUUUGAUGAACUUGACUGGCCCACAAAGUGUGAAAUAUUGCGAAGCAAUCCUGUGACUACAAUGCGCAUGUUUGAUAAGCGUGUCGAGGCUUUAUACAGAGAUUUGAUCUUGUCGCCUGCACAACCUCUUGGUAAAGUUGUCGAUUACUUUUACCGCGUUGAGUUUCAGCACAGAGGAAGCCCACACAUACAUUGCCUGCUAUGGGUAGAAGGAGCUCCUAUUUUUGAGGAAGAUGAUGAUCGAACUAUCUGUGACUUUGUGAACAAAUAUAUCAGUGCACAGCUACCUGACCCAGUUACAC
rnacentral:lncRNA from 1 species